rnacentral:misc_RNA from 1 species
AGUCGUAACAAGGUUUCCGUAGGUGAACCUGCGGAAGGAUCAUUAAUGAUGCCGACAUUCAUGUUGGUUGGGUCUUCGGACUCUCUUCUAUACACCGUGAACUGUGGCUUCGGCCAUUACAAACUGUUAGUAAUGAAUGUAAUAUCAUAACAAACAUAAAACUUUUAACAACGGAUCUCUUGGCUCUCGCAUCGAUGAAGAACGCAGCGAAAUGCGAUAAGUAAUGUGAAUUGCAGAAUUCAGUGAAUCAUCGAAUCUUUGAACGCACCUUGCGCCCUUUGGUAUUCCGAAGGGCAUGCCUGUUUGAGUGUCAUGAAACCUCACCCCACUUGGGUUUUUGCCUGAGCGGUGGUGGAUUGGGUGUUUGCCUUUGUUGGCUCGCCUGAAAUGCAUAAGCGCCUUGGAUGUAAUACGUUUCAUCCUUUUGGGUGGCUUCUAACCCCACAUAUUCAUGAUCUGGCCUCAAAUCAGGUAGGGCUACCCGCUGAACUUAAGCAUAUCAAUAAGCGGAGGAAAAGAAACUAACUAGGAUUCCCUUAGUAACGGCGAGUGAACCGGGAUGAGCUCAAAUUUAAAAUCUGGCGUCUUUCAGGCGUCCGAGUUGUAAUCUAUAGAGGCGUUUUCCGCGCCGGACCGCGUCCAAGUCCCUUGGA